UGGGGAAUUUUGGACAAUGGGCGAAAGCCUGAUCCAGCAAUGCCGCGUGUGUGAAGAAGGCCUUCGGGUUGUAAAGCACUUUUGUCCGGAAAGAAAUCCUUGGCUCUAAUACAGUCGGGGGAUGACGGUACCGGAAGAAUAAGCACCGGCUAACUACGUGCCAGCAGCCGCGGUAAUACGUAGGGUGCAAGCGUUAAUCGGAAUUACUGGGCGUAAAGCGUGCGCAGGCGGUUUGCUAAGACCGAUGUGAAAUCCCCGGGCUCAACCUGGGAACUGCAUUGGUGACUGGCAGGCUAGAGUAUGGCAGGAGGGGGGUUAGAAUUCCACGUGUAGCAGCGAAAUGCGUAGAGAUGUGGAGGAAUACCGAUGGCGAAGGCAGCCCCCUGGGCCAAUACUGACGCUCAUGCACGAAAGCGUGGGGGAGCAAAACAGGAUUAGAUACCCCUGGUAGUCCACGCCCUAAACGAUGUCAACUAGUUGUUGGGGAUUCAUCUCCUUAGUAACGUAGCUAACGCGUGAAGUUGACCGCCUGGGGAGUACGGUUCGCAAGAUUAAAACUCAAAGGAAUUGACGGGGUC
rnacentral:rRNA from 1 species